rnacentral:rRNA from 1 species
UUUUAGAUUCGAAGCGGUUAGUGGCGGACUGGUGAGUAACACGUAAGCAACCUGCCUAUCAGAGGGGAACAACAGUUAGAAAUGACUGCUAAUACCGCAUAUGCCUUAGAAUCACAUGGUUCAAAGGGAAAGGAGCAAUCCGCUGAUAGAUGGGCUUGCGUCUGAUUAGAUAGUUGGUGAGGUAACGGCCCACCAAGUCGACGAUCAGUAGCCGGACUGAGAGGUUGAACGGCCACAUUGGGACUGAGAUACGGCCCAGACUCC